rnacentral:rRNA from 1 species
AGCCUGCGGCUUAAUUUGACUCAACACGGGAAAACUUACCCGGCCCGGACACUGGGAGGAUUGACAGAUUGAGAGCUCUUUCUUGAUUCGGUGGAUGGUGGUGCAUGGCCGUUCUUAGUUGGUGGAGCGAUUUGUCUGGUUAAUUCCCAGACGACGUCACAUCCGCAGUCACUGUCGAAAUUCAUUCUAAAAUAAUUUCCUUUUGCUUUCGAACUGGAUUUGUUCAGAUUGUGAUAUGAAAGAGUUAGACUCUGGCAGCGUUUCAUUGUUGAGAGUACUGAGGAAUGCCUAACACAUCCUGCUCUUCACGUUUGUU